AGUAAGUAGACAGCUGCUAUAUUUUAAACCAAUUGGAGCUUUUUUUUAAGGAGUCCAGAAUCCAAUAAGGGUACGUCUACACUACCCACCGGAUUGGCAGGUAGGGAUCAAUCUAUAGGGGAUCGAUUUAUCACAUCUAGUGUAGUGUAAAUCGAUCCCUAAUCACUCUGCUGUUGACUCUGGAACUCCACCAUGGCGAGAGGCGGAAGCGGAGUCGACGGGGGAGUGGCGGCCAUCGAUCCCACGCGAUGCGAAGAGCUCUAGUGAACAUGUACUGUUUGUUUGGACAAGUGCUACUGGAUUUCAGAACUGGCCUGCAGGUCAAUAUCAACACUUGCAGAGCAAGAUAGAAAAAGAUCCAGGAAUUUUCUACCCAGAAGUGCAAAUCAGAUUUUUCCAUGUUUAUCCAGGAGUUAAUAG